AACAAACGCUGGCGGCGUGCCUAACACAUGCAAGUCGUACGAGAAAAUUCACUUCGGUGAGUAAGUAAAGUGGCGCACGGGUGAGUAACGCGUGGAUAAUCUACCCUUUAGUCGGGGAUAACUCAUCGAAAGGUGGGCUAAUACCCGAUGAUACUGCUUCUACUGCGGUUAAGUAGUCAAAGGUAGCCUCUGUUUACAAGCUUUCGCUAAAGGAUGAGUCCGCGUACCAUUAGCUAGUUGGUAGGGUAAUGGCCUACCAAGGCGACGAUGGUUAGCUGGUCUGAGAGGAUGAUCAGCCACACUGGAACUGAGACACGGUCCAGACUCCUACGGGAGGCAG
rnacentral:rRNA from 1 species